UCUACAACUUGACUCCCUGGGACUCAUUUCCCGGCUGUAUUGGGCUACUUGGUGCUGCCGCCUGUGAGUAACAAAGAGGCUCGUAGUUCAGGAGGCGGAGCUGGUAAAUUUGCCCCAGAGGGAGAAGUAAAUCUACCUGUGAGGGGGCUGAACCUUUUGUACUGAACGGGGAACACCCAGCGAUACAGCUUCUUUGCUGAGGGACAAUGGGGAGACCCUGGCAGCUAUUCCCACGCCUGCUGCUACUGCUGGUGAACAUUUCCUGGGGGAGCUGCCAGGCCGAGGUGCACCAGAACCUGUCUGAGGUCACUCGGGAAGGGCAGAACGGCAGCAUCUCUUGCCACUACACGACGAGCAAUUUCAGGAGUUUGCAGUGGUUCAGGCAGCUACCAGGAGGCCAGCCUGUCUCCCUGCUAAUUCUGGUGUCUGAUGGGAAACAAACCAAGGAGCCCAACCUCACCGCAGAGCUCGACAAGGGGAAGCAGCUGAGUUCCCUGCACAUCAGAGAAUCACAGCUGGGAGAUGCAGCCACCUACUUCUGCGCCAUGGCGACACAGUGACACAGGAGCACUGGCAGCCUGUGCAAAAACUCUCCACCUAGAGGGUAACUGUCAGACUGGUUGGCGGCACAACACCAUCUACUUCUUACACAGUGCAUCUCUGAGCUUGCUUCGCCUUCCUUGUCACGGUCAGACCCCAGCACCCUGGUGAGACAGGGCAGUGCGAGGAUCGCCAUCGCACAGGUCGAGAGCUAAGACAGAUAGAGGCUGAGGAAGGAAUGCCCUUGGGGAAUACCUGUUAGGGAAAGACCUCCAAG